CCUGAGACGUUUCCACUGACCCCCGGAGAUGUUUACUACGAGACCACGGGCAGCGAGCCAGUCACGAACCUGGACGAUGAAACAUCUGGAGCCUUAAACGGUGGCACGACUCCGGUCCUCGGAGAUUUGGCCACGUAUGACCACGACGUUGACGAUUACCAUGGCAACGACUUAGAUUCGUCCAACCACGAUCCGUCGGGUGCCAACAUCGCCCGCGGAGAGAGUUUCGUAUCUCCGGCCAUGUACGUGUAGCCGUGGUUGCUACAUCACCCCCCAACCACUAGGGCACGUGGGCGACUUCCUGAGCACCAAAAUCUGCAUGUGAAGCAACGGCGAGCGCUCGCGUUCCCACACCUGGGACUUCUUCUUCUUCUUCUUCUUCUUCUUCUUCUUCUUCUUCUUCUUCUUCUUCUUCUUCUUCUUCUUCUUCUUCUUCUUCUUCUUCUUCUUCAUCUUCUUCUUCUUUCGUUGAGUUAAAAUAUUUUUAAGUUUUUAAAAUUGAAACUUUCACAUCGUGGUGUUUGGCAUCUGGGUUUAUUUCACAUUUAUGGUGAAUUAUGGGUAAAAAUGUGCUGGUACCACUGGGUUCUUACCUUUUUCAUAUUUUUAUUUUCUCGCGUGAACAAAUGUUUGAUAAAUAUUUUAUUCAUUCAUACUUUAAAAAAAAAAAGUUUUUUUUUUAAAUAUAACAAAAGACACAUAAACACAGCAGCUCGUACCAGACGUAUUCAGGUGUGAAUCAUGUGACGCUCCUAACCAUCCAAUCAAAUGUGACUCCACCUCCGUUUCUGGUUUACAGUAAAAAAAAAAAAAAAAUCCAGAAUUUGUCGUUAAAGUUUAUGGGGAGAAAAGGGAACUUCAGUUUGAUUCUAAUCAUUUCUUCAGAGUUUUUUUUUUUUUUUUCAAGAUUUGAGAAACCAGAGAUCGGUGUGUUUUUUUUUAUGGGUUCUUUGAUGAAACUUCUGUGUAUCAUCGACAUAUACUGUAACCCUGUCUGAAACAGCAGCCUCUCAGUCUGCAGGAACCCCCCCCCCCCCCCCUCUGUGGAGGUGGACGUUUGUUUUUCCUACCAAAAGCACAGACGUAGUCACACCUGCUGUCACAGGCCCACGGUCCGCAGGUUGAGCCACCCCCGCUGCAGCUGUUGGUUUGUUUGUUUGCUUCAGCAUAUAUUAGAGAAAUGCUGCCGUUUUGACCCACGGUGGCGACGCGCUCUGAUAUAUGCGUCCGUUUAAACCUGAUUUACAUUUCAGCAGAAAAGAAAAACACAAAAAAACAAAUCUAAAAGAAAAGUUGGGAAAAACAAUAAUAGAACAAAAACGCCUGACGUCUCCUGGUACCAAACGGUGUAAAUAGUAUUGAUGAUAUUGAUUUAUGAAUAUAUUGUUGGUGACCUGUGAAAAAAUAAGUGUUUUAUCAGUGCCUGUGUACAGGAAACGGAAACUUGUUUGUGAAAAAUGUGAA